UACGUAGGGUCCGAGCGUUGUCCGGAGUUACUGGGCGUAAAGGGUGCGUAGGCGGCUUUUUAAGUUUGGUGUGAAAUCUCCCGGCUCAACUGGGAGGGUGCGCCGAAUACUGAGAGGCUAGAGUGUGGGAGAGGAAAGUGGAAUUCCUGGUGUAGCGGUGAAAUGCGUAGAUAUCAGGAGGAACACCGGUGGUGUAAACGGCUUUCUGGACCAUAACUGACGCUGAUGCACGAAAGCGUGGGUAGCAAACAGG
rnacentral:rRNA from 1 species